rnacentral:rRNA from 1 species
ACAGCAGCAGCCGCGGUAAUACGUAGGUCCCGAGCGUUGUCCGGAUUUAUUGGGCGUAAAGCGAGCGCAGGCGGUUAGAUAAGUCUGAAGUUAAAGGCUGUGGCUUAACCAUAGUACGCUUUGGAAACUGUUUAACUUGAGUGCAAGAGGGGAGAGUGGAAUCCCAUGUGUAGCGGUGAAAUGCGUAGAUAUAUGGAGGAACACCGGUGGCAAAAGCGGCUCUCUGGCUUGUAACUGACGCUGAGGCUCGAAAGCGUGGGGAGCAAACAGGAUUAGAUACCCGCGUAGUCCCUGUCUCUUAUACC